rnacentral:rRNA from 1 species
CAAUAGCGUAUAUUAAAGUUGUUGCGGUUAAAAAGCUCGUAGUUGGAUUUCUGCUGAGAACGACCGGUCCGCCCUCUGGGUGUGUAUCUGGCUCUUUCUUGGCAUCUUCUUGGUGAACGUUGCUGCACUUGACUGUGUGGAGCGCUACCCAGGACUUUUACUUUGAGGAAAUUAGAGUGUUUCAAGCAGGCAUACGCCUUGAAUACAUUAGCAUGGAAUAAUAAGAUAGGACCUCGGUUCUAUUUUGUUGGUUUCUAGGACCGAAGUAAUGAUUAAUAGGGAUAGUUGGGGGCAUUAGUAUUUAAUUGUCAGAGGUGAAAUUCUUGGAUUUAUGAAAGACUAACAUCUGCGAAAGCAUUUGCCAAGGAUGUUUUCAUUGA